rnacentral:rRNA from 1 species
UACGUAGGGUGCGAGCGUAAUCGGAAUUACUGGGCGUAAAGCGUGCGCAGGCGGUUGUACAAGACAGAUGUGAAAUCCCCGGGCUUAACCUGGGAAUUGCAUUUGUGACUGCACGGCUAGAGUGUGUCAGAGGGGGUAGAAUCCACGUGUAGCAGUGAAAUGCGUAGAUAUGUGGAGGAAUACCGAUGGCGAAGGCAGCCCCCGUGGGAUAACGACUGACGCUCAUGCACGAAAGCGUGGGAGCAACAGG